UUCUGUAAUUAUUGUAUGGCCUUGCCUUACAACAUAAGGCGCCUUGGGGCAACUGUUUGUUGUGAUUUGACGCUAUAUAAAUAAAAUUGAUUGAUUGAUCAUCAUGGUAAAAAGUUUCUCAUGCUGUGAAACAUAUUUAGUUCUUCUUAACCUUUAUGUAAAAAGAUAUGUAAAGAUAUGUAAAAAAAUAAAUAAAUAAAUAAAUAAACUGAAUUGGCGGCCAUUUUGUACACCAUCUUGGAUUUUAAAAAGCCAGGAGGGAUUUUCGAGGACUUUCAGUAUUUGCUUCCACGUUUUCACGACUUAUUCUGAAAAUUUUAGCUUGCUCCAUAAAACUUCCAAUAUUUGGUCAUUUUUGAGCUAAUGCACUUGAGCUAUUACAGAAACAAAGUGGUUACUUUCUUUAACAAAAAGUAGAUCAGCAGAGGCCGGACUGUCAGCCAAAAUGUGCAUGUGUGUGUGUGUGCAAAUAAUGUACACGCACAAGCAUAAACACACACGACGCCCUAAUUAAACACACACAUGGCCAAAGCUCAGGCUCUGUGCACCAACUCAUCAGGGAAAAGUAGGAAAAUAGACUUUUAUCAAAAGAAACCAUUAAUUUAAGGCUUAUGAGGUUACAGACUGGUGAGAUAAAAAUCCUGAUUUUUAAUAACAAAAGUUCCCCAUUACUGAAGUAAUCGUAGUUUUAUUUCCAAAUACGUUAUGAAUGUCUUUGGUGUAUUUUAAAGCUAUAUACAAAAGAACAACAUCCUUAUGAUGCAGAAUAAUGUUGCUGUUGUAUUAGUACCUGAAUGGAGUGACAGGAAGAACCAUAUUUGUGCAAAAUUAAAAAGUGUUCCUAUUAAUACGGUCGCACACAUAGAACUGUAGUCGAGCAGAGUUCCUCUGCAAGCGAGAAUAAGAGGAAC